CUGAGGGCGAGGCAAAGCAAAACUUGACAACUGGCAACUUGGGGUUCGGUGCCUUGCCCAAGGACGCUGCGGCACAUGACCUUAUAAUUGACCAGCUAGUACUUCCUCAGAAAGCCUUCGUCUGUGCUGACUGGGCCAAACAUCCACGAGAAGAGGUCACAGGAUUCUGGCCCUGGCUGGUUGAAGGCACAGCGUGACCCUGGAAUAGUGUUAUUGGGCUUCUGGAUCACAUGAUUAAUGGGAUCCACUCGCCUCUUCAGCAUUUUAUAACCUCUAACACUUUAAAAGGGCUUAACAUGAAGGAAGUAUGUUAAAAAUAAAAAUAUCUGUGUUUGCUUUUUGACUUGACCUUGAAGUAUAAUUCAAGAACCUGUGAAAAACACCUUUUUUUAGUCCAACCUUAAUUUAUGCAAAAAACAUGUUGUAAUGACAUCAUCAGAAGAUAUAUGGAUAAAUACACAGUCUCUUAUAAACUAAGUCUUUGUUUUAUUUUUUAAGGAGAUUUGUCCAUUUACAAUCAAGCACUGUGUCCUUGAAACUAUGAUCUCCUCAUCUGUUUAAUGUCUAUGGUACAAAUAGAGUGAACAACAGAGAACAGCUCAUGAGAGGUCAGACCACAUUAAGAGCAGGAACACACAAAGAACCAUUCAACCACUCAAAGCAAACAUUCAAUGAAAUCCUAAACCGCACAAAACAAAAGCUUGACUA